UUUCAUUCAACAAAAUUCAAAACACGCACACGCUAAUUUGUGAAAAGAACAGAAAAACUCAUUCUUUCUUCUUCAAGAAACAAGAAAAUAACGAAACACGCAAACGCUGUGGUGUUCGGUGGGUUGUUGAAAGAUCAAGAAACUGGUAUGCUCGAUCUAUGCCGUUAAUCUCUUCUGUUUGCUACGGACUGCAAAAGAGCAAUCUCUCGUCACAUUUGCGAUUGCCACAGAAGAGACCGAAUAUGCUCAUGUCUCAGAAUGCCCUGUCUUUGUUAUAUCUGGUUCUUACGAGGGUAUCUCAGCGAAGGACAUGUGGCAUGAAAUUAUACAGGUUAUGGACCUUUAAGAUCUUACUUUUAUGAAAUAUAUAUGUUGAGUUAUUCAUUCUUCCUUCCUUCCUCUCCCAGAUAAGCUUUUAUUGUGUUCUAAUAAAUAAGCAUUCUAUAACACAAGUACUUAGAAUUUUGUCUCUGUCAUUUUCCUUUUGUUUUGUGUGUCUGACACUCUUCUUAUCAUGAACAUUAUCAGUACUUGAGUCUCCUUGAACAUCACUCUUUCAUUAUAUUUUAAGAUUAAAAGUCAAAUUAGAGCAACUUUCUAUCCCAAAUUUGAAAAUGAAAAGUCAGAUCAAGAGGUAUAUGAUUCAUGUCUCAGUUUUUUCUGCUGGAUAAAUUACUUAAUGACUCUAGUCUCUGAAUGUGAAAAAGCUAGUUGUUGCCUUAUAAUUACCACUCGAGCAAUUAUCUCUAUCGGUGUCCUCUUUUCUACUAAAAAAAUAUGAAUUUUUAUUCAUAAUAAUGGAUGAAUGGAUAUAUAUAUUCUGCUUGGAUGACCCUUAGUCCCUAAGUUCAAUUCUGCAACUGCAAUUAAAAGUGGUUUUGCAUUAUGAGCUCAUUGACCCUUGACCCUAAUGUUUCAUAAGUUUUGUAAGGGAUGAAUGCUUCAAUGACCUUUGAGGAAAAUGCAUUAUGAAUGCUUACUUGAUGCCCGGAAAAUGCUGGAUAAAUUACUUAAUGACUCUAGUCCCUGAAUGUGAAAAAGCUAGUUGUUGCCUUAUAAUUGCUACUCAAACAAUUGUCUCUAUUGGUGUCCUCUUUUCUAUUAAAAAAAUAUGAAUUUUUAUUCAUAAUAAUGCAUGAAGGGAUAUGUAUUCUGCUUUGAUGACCCUUAGUCCCUAAGUUCAAUUCUCCAACUGCACAAUUAAAAGUGAUUUUGCAUUAUGAGCUUAAUGACCCUUGUCCCUAAUGUUUCAUAAGUUUUGUAAGGGAUGAAUGCUUCAAUGACCUUUGAGGAAAAUGCACUAUGAAUUCUUUAUUCAUAAUGGAAACGUUGGAUGGUGGCUUUCAAAGCAAAGCAAUUUUAAUGUGAAUUCUUUAUUCAAAAUGUGGAUGGAUAGACUUUGUUCCAUGAUUUUUGUAAGGGUGGCCCAAAAAUGCUGGAUGAUGCCUUAAUUUGAAAGCUGGUUGUUGACCCUAGUCCUUAAAUGCUAUUAUCUAUUGUGCUUUGAUGGACCCUUAGUCCCUAAAUGCAAUUUUGCAACUACAAUAUGAAGUGAUUUUUCAAAGCAAAAGAAAGUGUUUCCUUGUAUUUGAUUGGCCCACUGAUAAAGGUUUCAAAGGAAUUCUCUAAGGAAGAAACGAAUCAACUGAAGCAAAGUACAAAGAAACCAACUCUUUGGAGUCCUCUAUGAUACUUAUACUGUAUUGCAUCUCUUACACUGAUCAUCUGUAUUAUUAAAAUGCAGAACCUGAUACAGCAUUGAAAAUAGUUCGUCGCCAGGUUUCACCUGUUAUACCCCAUAAUUACAAGGAGAGUAGCUAUCUUGUAUCAGAUUUUACUUUUACGGUAGGAAAAGCUCACUUAAAUAUAAAUUUAAGUUACGGUUUUAUAUAUAAAGUUUUCACAUGAGCUGUAAGUGCUAUGUUUUUUUAGUGGCUGUUAUAGUGUUACAGUUAAAGUGUGUUAGUUUUAAAUACUUGUUUUUUGUUGAGGAAUUGAGUGCAAACUAUUUGAUGUGUGCAUUCAGAAUUCUGUUGGAGGACAUUCUGAAUUUACCGGUCAGCACUUCAACCCAAAGAUGAAGUAAGAAAAUUAUCAGCUGGCUACUUUACCUCAUCCCCACAGCUUGCCUGUACUUUAUUCUAAAAUUCAUGAUACAUAUCACAUUAUGCCAGAAUGGCUGAUGGGGUGCAUAAAUUCUACAUCACAAGUUUGCAUAAGCUGUUUUCUUUAGCCUAAAUCCUAAUAUCCUACUACAUAAUCUUUACUGCCAAAUUUCUCAUUGAUGGAUUAGAUUAGUUUCAUAAACAUGGACUUGUUUGGAUUGACUUAUUUGAGCUUAUCUACUAACAUAAGUUUUGUGCAGCUGUUAAUUUGGGAGAACUUACGAAAGCAACUUAGGACAAUUUGUAUAAGUUUUUUUCACAAGCUCUCCAAUAUAGCUUAUAAAAAUAGUCUGUAGCAUAUAUGAAAAUAAUUUAUCUUUGUUUUAUCUUUUGCUAUAAAAAUAGCUUAUGUAAGCUUAUAUAUAAGCUCUUAUUAUGAUUGGCGUUUGUGCUAUAAGUUAUAUAUAAGCUCAAUGGGCAUCUGCAAAUUUUAUAUGUUUUGCAAUUCAAUAAGGCAUGAGAUGAUGGGCAGAUGCACAGGGAAUUUGCAAUGAAGGCAGCUGUCCACCCCAAAGUUGCAAUUGUGAUCCUGUAAUCAUUACCUUCAUUACGAGUUGUCGCGAUUUUUCUACAUUUCAUGAUGCUUUUCUUCAUCUUGGUUUUCCUCAGUUUAGCUCGCCAGUGUGCCCAACUUUGGUUGAAGACUAGGGAAAUGCUUGGCUUCCUCCUUGGUUUCAUCUCAGAACCUGAUCAGUCUGUAGUGCCAAAGGAUGUUUUGAAGGCUGCAUGUGAGAAGGUUCAUGAUCAUUGUUCUUGCAAUUGGAACUGAAGAGUUGCCACCUCAAGAUGUUGUUGAUGCAAGCAAACAACUGAAAGAUUUAAUAUUGCAAUUACUGGAACGACAUUGGUUAAAACUUAAAAGCAUGGUGAAGUGCGGAUUUUGGGCACCGCAGGGAGACUAGUGGUUUCUGUUGAAAAUCUUAUCACGAAACAAACAGAACAAGAGGUUGAGGUUCGAGGUCCUCCUGUUUCAAAAGCAUUUGAUCAGGAAGGAAAUCAAACAAAGGCUGCUGUGGGUUUUUCUCGUAAAUAUAUUAUGUUCCACUGGACUUAGUAUACAGAAAGGUUGAUGGGAAAACAGAAUAUGUAUACGCUUGUAUAAAAGAGUCUUCAAGACAUGCUUUGGAGGUUUGAUCUUAAGAUUUGCCUGCUACUAUUGCUAAAAUUUCAUUUCCAAAGACAAUGCGUUGGAAUUCACAGGUGAUGUUUAGCAGGCCUAUCCGUUGGAUUUUGGCCUUGCAUGGAGAUGUUGUGUGAAAAUUCGUCUUGCGGCCUUCGUAAUACUACUUCAGCUGUUGUCCAGAUAGAAAACGCAGAAUCUUAUCCAGCUGCAAUGAGAAAGGCUGGAGUCAAUGUUGUUGAGGACCAUAAGAAAAAAUUGUAGAGCAAUGUAAUACAUUAGCCGAAAGUGUAAAUGGCCAAAUUCUGAUUCCGAAAGGUUUGCUUGACGAGGUUGUAAAUCUUGUGAGGCACCUAUUCCAGUGCUUGGAAAGUUUAAAGAAACCUUCUUAGAUCUUCCAAAGGAUCUUUUGACUAUGGUGAGCACUUCAGUUUAAAGUGUGCCUUUCCAUGUUGAUUAUUAUACUAGUACUUCCCAGGGACUACGCGCAGAGGCAAAACAGAGAGAGGCUUGCGCUUUUGUACAUGUAAUUGGUGCUAAUCCUAUUAAGAACAGCAGUUAUUUGUUCGGAUGACAAUAGGGUAUGGCUUAUGGGUAAGGUACUAUAGUACCCAUCCCCAUAUCCGCGGAUAGAAAAAAAUACCCAUCCCCAUACCCACGUGGGUUACAACUUUUGCCUCCGUCCCCAUACCCUAUGGGUACCUAAGUACCCA